rnacentral:rRNA from 1 species
GGGUUGUGAGGUUAAGCGACUAAGCGUACACGGUGGAUGCCCUGGCAGUCAGAGGCGAUGAAGGGCGUGCUAAUCUGCGAUAAGCGCCGGUAAGGUGAUAUGAACCGUUAUAACCGGCGAUACCCGAAUGGGGAAACCCAGUGUGACUCGUCACACUAUCAUUAACUGAAUCCAUAGGUUAAUGAGGCGAACCGGGGGAACUGAAACAUCUAAGUACCCCGAGGAAAAGAAAUCAACCGAGAUUCCCCCAGUAGCGGCGAGCGAACGGGGAGGAGCCCAGAGCCUGAAUCAGCAUGUGUGUUAGUGGAAGCGUCUGGAAAGGCGCGCGAUACAGGGUGACAGCCCCGUACACAAAAGCGCAUGUGCUGUGAGCUCGAUGAGUAGGGCGGGACACGUGGUAUCCUGUCUGAAUAUGGGGGGACCAUCCUCCAAGGCUAAAUACUCCUGACUGACCGAUAGUGAACCAGUACCGUGAGGGAAAGGCGAAAAGAACCCCGGCGAGGGGAGUGAAAAAGAACCUGAAACCGUGUACGUACAAGCAGUGGGAGCCCCACCACCAAAGCAUUUGCUGUACCGCGUUGACGGAGCGAAGCGACGUCAAACCGAUAAAACAGCAGUGUAAAGUGAGCCGCAGGGCGCUUUGCGCGACAGCGCAAAGGCAGGCGGUUUCG